rnacentral:rRNA from 1 species
GACGAACGCUGGCGGCGUGCUUAACACAUGCAAGUCGAACGGAAAGGCCCUGCUUUUGUGGGGUGCUCGAGUGGCGAACGGGUGAGUAACACGUGAGUAACCUGCCCUUGACUUUGGGAUAACUUCAGGAAACUGGGGCUAAUACCGGAUAGGAGCUCCUGCUGCAUGGUGGGGGUUGGAAAGUUUCGGCGGUUGGGGCUGGACUCGCGGCUUAUCAGCUUGUUGGUGGGGUAGUGGCUUACCAAGGCUUUGACGGGUAGCCGGCCUGAGAGGGUGACCGGCCACAUUGGGACUGAGAUACGGCCCAGACUCCUACGGGAGGCAGCAGUGGGGAAUAUUGCACAAUGGGCGGAAGUCUGAUGCAGCAACGCCGCGUGCGGGAUGACGGCCUGCGGGUUGUAAACCGCUUUCGCCUGUGACGAAGCGUGAGUGACGGUAAUGGGUAAAGAAGCACCGGCUAACUACGUG